AACGCAUAUUGCACUCUGUCUCGGCAGAGUAUGCCUGUUUGAGAAUCUAUUGUAUUUCUUACCUCUUGGUGCUUUUCUCUCGGGAGUUGCGCCGCUAGGUAGAUUUGAGAUAUGAAUGCUUCGGUAUUCUGUCUUUAAAUAGAUUGCCGCCUUGAUGGUGACUUUUUGUGUUUGAAUAGAACUUAGUUCUCGAUUACGCUUAGGGGCUCUAUCUAAAAGGUGGUUCAUACCUAUAAAGACUAGUACUUUGGGAACGUCUUGAACCAUGGUCUCAAAUCAGGUAGGAAGACCCGCUGAACUUAA
rnacentral:misc_RNA from 1 species